UUUUAAAUGUAUGGUUUAUAUAAGAUACAAAUAAUCUAUUGACAAAUUCUCUUAACUAAUCUAGAAAAUGUAACAUCAGUGAAGGCAAUGAUGAACGUGAUGAGUAUACCAGGAGCUGAAGGGACUCAACAUUCAAUGAUUAAUGGUGAAUCAGAAGGAGACCUAAAAAACAUAUAUAUAUAUAUUCUUUUUUCGUUUGUUUUGUUUGUACACUUAAAAAACAUUUCAUUAUAGUAGUUUUUUAGUGCUUUUGUAAAACAUUCAAAGUUUGUCUGUUUGUCUGAAACAGCAGUCCCUAAAUGUCCUCCCAGAAUGCUCUGGCUGAAGGCUAACGUGUUGACAAUGAUGGGGCCUUUCCUAUCACGGCUGUCUUUAGAGGAAGCAAAGACCAUCCCUAAAGAAGAGCUGUGUGAGUUUUUCAGGACUCCAGAUUUCUCUUCAUCAUUUCAAAAUGUUAGUGGAAUGCAGCCCGCUCUUGGCCGAAUACUUUUUCAACGCUUGAAACAAGAGUGUUCCAGCAGCGACAAUUUCACUCACUAUAUGGACAGAUUGGGCUCUCUGGCGUGUUUCUUUGAUGGUGCACCGUCACUAAAUCUGAAUCUUAGUAGAAAACUGCUGUCUCAGAUUGAUACCUGUAACAACCCUGACAUAGACAAGGUGAAAAGACAGCUAGUACAGAAAAUUCUGGAGAAAGAUGACCAUUCUUCCUCUCCUGAGAUUUUGCUGUCUCUGGGAUCCGCCGUAUCUGUCCUUCCUCUUUCCAGGCUGUCCCACCUCACUUCUGAGGACCUGAACAACACCCUCACCAGUUUGAGUCAGGCCAGUUGGAGCCCAGCUCAAGCGAAGACUCUGGCUAAGAAACUGUUGGAAGCUGCUAAGAAUAUAAGUGGUGAGAAGUUGUUGUCUCUCGGUACAAUGGUGAGAGGGGUGGCCAGUUCCCUCCUCAAGAAUGUGAAGGCAGAAGGGCUGCUGGGAAAUGAAGCCCUGAAAACUAUGAGUGAGAAGAUGUCCUCCCUACAAAGGACAGCACUACUGGAAGCGUUCCGUCGUGAUGUAAAUGCAUCUGAACUGGUGAAACGGUUGCCGGUUUCUCUCCUCUCUUCUCUGUCUCUGUCCACGCUGGAGAAAGCAGACCUCAGCUCUGUGGAUCAGCUGCAGGGACGCGGCUGGACUCGUGCUCAAGUAUACACACUAGAUAGUAAUAUAAAAAUCCAAAUCCAUUACCAUUCCAUCCAUUUUCUCUGAUUUCCUUAUUUCUCUCUGUAGUCAGCUUUCCUUCUGAAGAAGAUUUUGGGUAAUAGGAUCAACCUUGGCGAAUUACGGUGAGACUCUAUAUGACUGCAACAUACAGCUAUGCUAUACUUUGUGUAGACCUUGAAUAAGAAUUUUUGUGAGCAUAAUUGCAUCUUAAUAAAAAUAAAUGUCUGCAUAAAGACUUAAUACA
ensembl:lncRNA